AAUCAAUGAUGAAAAUAGCCAAAUCUGAGCAUCCAAGGCCCUUCCGGUCUACCUGAGGCAUGAUCUUCAUCACUCUGGGA
ensembl:snoRNA